AGAUCUAGUGGCGAACGGGUGAGGAUCACGUGAGAAACCUGCCCCAGACUCUGGGAUAACAAUUGGAAACGAUUGCUAAUACCGGAUGACGUCGGAGAACCGCAUGGUUCACUGACGAAAGGAAAUCCGGUUUGGGAGGGUCUCGCGGCCUAUCAGCUUGUUGGCGGGGUAAUGGCCCACCAAGGCAACGACGGGUAGCUGGUCUGAGAGGAUGGUCAGCCACACUGGGACUGAGACACGGCCUAGACUCC
rnacentral:rRNA from 1 species